rnacentral:rRNA from 1 species
CCCUUAGAUGUUCUGGGCUGCACGCGCGCUACACUGAAGCGUUCAACGAGUAUUCACCUUGCCCGGGAGGGUUGGGUAAUCUUUUGAAAACGCUUCGUGAUGGGGAUAGAUUAUUGCAAUUAUUAAUCUUCAACGAGGAAUUCCUAGUAAGCGCGAGUCAUCAGCUCGUGCUGAUUACGUCCCUGCCCUUUGUACACACCGCCCGUCGCUCCUACCGAUUGAGUGGUCCGGUGAAAUCUCGGGACGGCGGCUUGGUCGCUUGCGUCCGACUGCUGAAACUUGAUUAAACCAUAUCAUUUAGAGGAAGGUGAAGUCGUAACA